rnacentral:rRNA from 1 species
CCCUUAGAUGUCCUGGGCCGCACGCGCGCUACACUGAGUGUCUGAGAUACGAGUCUGCCUGGUCCGGCAAGGUCUAGGUAAUCGCUAAAAGACACAUCAUGCUUGGGAUAGAUUAUUGCAAAUAUUAAUCUUGAACGAGGAAUUCCUAGUAAGCGCAAGUCAACAGCUUGCGUUGAUUACGUCCCUGCCCUUUGUACACACCGCCCGUCGCUACUACUGAUUGGAUGUUUAAGCGAGGUUCUCGAACUGCUAGCGACUUAGCUUCGGUGAGGUCGCAGUGUGGGAAGUGUACCUAGCUUUGGUGUCUAGAGGAAGUAAAAGUCGUAACA